rnacentral:tRNA from 1 species
GCUUUUAAUGGAAAAAAGUCUUCCACUGGCUUUAGGCGCCAACAACUCUUGGUGCAAACCCAAGUAAAAGCU